GCAAACUUGGUCAUUUAGAGGAAGUAAAAGUCGUAACAAGGUUUCCGUAGGUGAACCUGCGGAAGGAUCAUUACAUGAAUAUCGGGGGCCAUGUCCUGCUCCAUGGCCAUUGCCAUGGAGAGAACUGGCCCUGUCUGCAUAUUACCCUGUCUUUACGCACCUCUGUUUCCUCGGCAGGCUCGCCUGUCAGAGGACCGUGUACACUCUUUGUAAUAGAAGUCAGCGUCAGAAGAAUAUAAUAGUUACAACUUUCAACAACGGAUCUCUUGGUUCUGGCAUCGAUGAAGAACGCAGC
rnacentral:misc_RNA from 1 species